rnacentral:rRNA from 1 species
GAUGAACGCUGGCGGCGUGCUUAACACAUGCAAGUCGAACGAAGCAUUUGCAACAGAUUUUUUCGGAAUGAAGUUGCUUAUGACUGAGUGGCGGACGGGUGAGUAACGCGUGGGUAACCUGCCUUGUACUGGGGGAUAGCAGCUGGAAACGGCUGGUAAUACCGCAUAAGCGCACAAUGUUGCAUGACAUGGUGUGAAAAACUCCGGUGGUAUAAGAUGGACCCGCGUCUGAUUAGCUAGUUGGUGAGAUAACAGCCCACCAAGGCGACGAUCAGUAGCCGACCUGAGAGGGUGACCGGCCACAUUGGGACUGAGACACGGCCCAGACUCCUACGGGAGGCAGCAGUGGGGAAUAUUGCACAAUGGAGGAAACUCUGAUGCAGCGACGCCGCGUGAGUGAAGAAGUAAUUCGUUAUGUAAAGCUCUAUCAGCAGGGAAGAUAGUGACGGUACCUGACUAAGAAGCUCCGGCUAAAUACGUG